UACAGAGGUCUCAAGCGUUGUUCGGAUUCAUUGGGCGUAAAGGGUGCGUAGGCGGCGCGGUAAGUCGGGUGUGAAAUCCCACGGCUCAACCGUGGAACGGCCUCGGAUACGGGCGGCCUCGAGGGGGGUAGGGGCAUCUGGAACUGUGAGUGGAGCGGUGAAAUGCGUUGAUAUUCACAGGAACUCCGGUGGCGAAGGCGAGGUGCUGGACCCCAUCUGACGCUGAGGCGCGAAAGCCAGGGGAGCGAACGGG
rnacentral:rRNA from 1 species